rnacentral:rRNA from 1 species
AGUGAACGCUGGCGGUAGGCCUAACACAUGCAAGUCGAACGGCAGCACAGUAAGAGCUUGCUCUUACGGGUGGCGAGUGGCGGACGGGUGAGGAAUACAUCGGAAUCUACUUUUUCGUGGGGGAUAACGUAGGGAAACUUACGCUAAUACCGCAUACGACCUACGGGUGAAAGCAGGGGAUCUUCGGACCUUGCGCGAUUGAAUGAGCCGAUGUCGGAUUAGCUAGUUGGCGGGGUAAAGGCCCACCAAGGCGACGAUCCGUAGCUGGUCUGAGAGGAUGAUCAGCCACAUUGGAACUGAGACACGGUCCAGACUCCGACGGGAGGCAGCAGUGGGGAAUAUUGGACAAUGGGCGCAAGCCUGAUCCAGCCAUACCGCGUGGGUGAAGAAGGCCUUCGGGUUGUAAAGCCCUUUUGUUGGGAAAGAAAAGCAGCAGGUUAAUACCCCGCUGUUCUGACGGUACCCAAAGAAUAAGCACCGGCUAACUUCGU